rnacentral:tmRNA from 1 species
GCCCUUCAAAUUCCAGGCGCGCAGCCCUAUAUUCAACCUGUCCGGUUCGCCGGACUAUGGAGAUAAACGCGCACGUCAUAAGCGGACUGGACCCGGGUGCGAUUCCCGGCGGCUCCACCAAAUCCUUCUCCGGGUAUCGCCGGAAAGUCUGGGGCCGAUCAGCAUCGACAGACGUCUAAAGGUGUUGCUUUCUCUCGGCUUGGCCCACCGUUUCGGGCCUUAAUCUAAAUGCGAACGAUAACUUCGCUGAAGAAGUCCGUCUGGCUGCGUAAGCGGUCCGAUAGAUUUCGACCUAAACUCCUAGUGUCUUAGCAGCGCUAGGCGGGGCCGGGAGGGGGCCUUGCAACAGAACCCCUCCACC